rnacentral:rRNA from 1 species
UGGGGAAUUUUGGACAAUGGGCGAAAGCCUGAUCCAGCCAUGCCGCGUGAGGGAAGAAGGCCUUCGGGUUGUAAACCUCUUUCGGCCGGGACGAAAUCGGCGGAAUGAACAAUUCCGCUGGAUGACGGUACCGGAAGAAGAAGCACCGGCUAACUACGUGCCAGCAGCCGCGGUAAUACGUAGGGUGCGAGCGUUAAUCGGAAUUACUGGGCGUAAAGCGUGCGCAGGCGGUUAUUUAAGCCAGACGUGAAAUCCCCGGGCUUAACCUGGGAAUGGCGUUUGGGACUGGAUAGCUAGAGUGCGGCAGAGGGAGGUGGAAUUCCACGUGUAGCAGUGAAAUGCGUAGAGAUGUGGAGGAACACCGAUGGCGAAGGCAGCCUCCUGGGCCAGCACUGACGCU